rnacentral:rRNA from 1 species
GUGGGGAAUUUUGGACAAUGGGCGCAAGCCUGAUCCAGCAAUGCCGCGUGCAGGAAGAAGGCCUUCGGGUUGUAAACUGCUUUUGUACGGAACGAAAAGGCUCUGGUUAAUACCUGGGGCUCAUGACGGUACCGUAAGAAUAAGCACCGGCUAACUACGUGCCAGCAGCCGCGGUAAUACGUAGGGUGCAAGCGUUAAUCGGAAUUACUGGGCGUAAAGCGUGCGCAGGCGGUUUUGUAAGACAGACGUGAAAUCCCCGGGCUCAACCUGGGAAUGGCGUUUGUGACUGCAAAGCUGGAGUGCGGCAGAGGGGGAUGGAAUUCCGCGUGUAGCAGUGAAAUGCGUAGAUAUGCGGAGGAACACCGAUGGCGAAGGCAAUCCCCUGGGCCUGCACUGACGCUCAUGCACGAAAGCGUGGGGAGCAAACAGGAUUAGAUACCCUAGUAGUCC